rnacentral:rRNA from 1 species
CCUACGGGAGGCAGCAGUGAGGAAUAUUGGGCAAUGGGCGAAAGCCUGACCCAGCCACGCCGCGUGUGUGAUGAAGGCCUUCGGGUCGUAAAGCACUGUGGGGAGAGACGAAAAAGCGCAUGAGGAAAUGCUUGCGCCUUGACGGUACCUCCUUAGCAAGCACCGGCUAACUCUGUGCCAGCAGCCGCGGUAAUACAGAGGGUGCGAACGUUGCUCGGAUUUACUGGGCGUAAAGCGCGUGUAGGCGGACUCGCAAGUCGGUUGUGAAAUCCCUGGGCUCAACCUAGGAACUGCAUCCGAAACUGCUUGUCUUGAGUAAUGGAGAGGGUGGCGGAGUUCCCGGUGUAGAGGUGAAAUUCGUAGAUAUCGGGAGGAACAUCAGUGGCGAAGGCGGCCACCUGGACAUUUACUGACGCUGAGACGCGAAAGCGUGGGGAGCAAACAGGAUUAGAUACCCUGGUAGUCCACGCCGUAAACGAUGAGAACUAGGUGCAGCGGAUAUUGACCUCUGCUGUGCCGUAGCUAACGCGUUAAGUUCUCCGCCUGGGGAGUACGGCCGCAAGGCUAAAACUCAAAGGAAUGACGGAAAUUGUCGGCCCGCCGGGCAGCCCGC